rnacentral:rRNA from 1 species
UAUCAAUAAGCGGAGGAAAAGAAACUAACAAGGAUUCCCCUAGUAACUGCGAGUGAAGCGGGAAAAGCUCAAAUUUAAAAUCUGGUGGUCUUUUGGCCAUCCGAGUUGUAAUUUAGAGAAGCGUCUUCCGCGCUGGACCGUACACAAGUCUCCUGGAACGGAGCGUCAUAGAGGGUGAGAAUCCCGUCUUUGGUACGGACCCCCGGUGCUUCUGUGAUGCGCUCUCGAAGAGUCGAGUUGUUUGGGAAUGCAGCUCAAAAUGGGUGGUGAACUCCAUCUAAAGCUAAAUAUUGGCGAGAGACCGAUAGCGAACAAGUACCGUGAGGGAAAGAUGAAAAGCACUUUGGAAAGAGAGUGAAACAGUACGUGAAAUUGUUGAAAGGGAAACGCUUCAAGUCAGUCGCGUCUGCCGAGACUCAGCCUCGCUCCGGCUUGGUGUAUUUCUCGGUACGACGGGUCAGCAUCGAUUUUGUCCCUCGGAUAAUGGCAAGGGAAAGGUGGCACCUUUGCGGGUGUGUUAUAGUCUUUUGUCGCAUGCGAGGGGCGAGAUUGAGGAACUCAGCACGCGCGCCCUUCUGGGUGUGUCGGGGCCUCGGCCCACGCCACGUGCUUAGGAUGCUGGCGUAAUGGCUUUAAACGACC